UUCCGAUGUAGGAUAGGCAACGCCCACAACACGGGUGUACGGCAGACCUGCCUAGCCCGCUGGACAUUCUUGGGGAUGAGACCCGCAUUCCUCUGCAAGGCGAUACGAGCACAGCCUUUGCCUUUCCAGUGUACUUCAGAGCUGGGACAGCGACGUGCUCUAUCUUCGAAGUCAGCCUGUGCGCAGCACCGUGCGUAAGCAGCGGAGAAGGGAAUGGGAAGUACUGCUGGCGAGCGUCGUCGCUCAACAAGCAAACGGAGAUUGCAGAGAUCCGCAGUGUCGUUCGCGUACGUGUGUGGGUGUUGUACUGUGUACCACGACGAGCGGGAUGCCAUCGAGCGUGAGAUACCCACUUGGGGGUUCGCCGUGCUGAUCAUUGAUCAUGCUUCAUAGAAAAUAAUUCGUACCUAAAAUCUAGCAGUUGCAUUCCUCCACGUGCAUUCCCGUACGCUUCCGGUCUGGUCAUAUUGUGGCAACGCGGUGAAAACCCAGGGACAGUCGAAGGACACCUCAGGGACUUCAGACAUCAUAAGUAUCACAGAAUUUCGUGAGGAUUACCACAAGGAUGUAAGGACAGCAGAGGGACUACAAAAUCCGGAGGGACUGACGGGGAUCGGCGAAGGACAAUCCCUCUGUGUCCCCCUGUCCAUCAGGGGUGGUACCUACUAGGUCCCGCGCAUGGCCUGUUCUCGACAUUACAUCAUUAAAAUGACGUCACUCGUGCAAAAAUGAUGACUUUACAAGCCACAACUUUGAUGUACGUAGCAACAGAGCUCGCGCCUGCCCCACCCAGAAAUGCUAUGUCUCAUAGACGUCCAACGGGACCAUUUAGACGUCUAUUGUCUACUGGUCCCCUUAGACGUCUUAAUGGUCACCUUAGACCUGGCAGUUGUAGGUGGGUGGGUGGGCGGUCAUCUGCGCCGGGGCUCCGUUACGUACAACGUAACGACGAUAUUAAAUUUUUGUGGACUUCCCCGUUCUUAUUCGGGAGGGCGCAGAACGCCGCUAGAAAGCCCUUGCCUAACUUUUGCCCUCACAAUAACUUGGCGACGGAAAAUUCGAAGUUACGUUGGAAUAUUAAGAAGUUAUUUCAGUGUCAGUAGACGCCCAUGAC